rnacentral:piRNA from 1 species
ACAGUUGUUGUCCUUUGAUCUGAGUAGA